AUUCUAAACCACCGUGGGUAACAGUGUUAUAGUUUCCAUGGUAACAGCUCAUUUAUGUGACACAUGCUCCACGGCAUAACGGGUUCGACAAUGUGCUGUUUUCCCGAAGGUUGAGAAGUUCAGCUGGGAGCAUGGAAGGAGUCUCCAGGCCACCAGAUGUCGCCAAUGUGUCCCUCUGCUCUUCAAUUAUCACUCAUUGUUUUCAGCUGGUACCAAUCGUCCUUGCACAGUUCGGGACCUUGUCCCUUGUCCAGACCCUGACGUCAUCACAUCCGGCUGCUUGGAAAUCUCCUGCCAUUGCGUAUAAAAGUGUGUCGCCAUGGUAACGGAGCAGUGUGUGUUUUAUUCCUGUACACAGAGAAGUUGUUACACAUCCAAAGGAAAGAAACCAACAAACGGUUUGUAAAAACCAGACUGCCACAUUGAAACAGCUGAGUCAGGAAGUAAAAUGUUCAGCGUUGCUAUGGCUUCAAAAGAUUAUUCAUCUCAUUCUUCAUUUGGGAACCUCACACUCAGAAGUGGAGGAGAAUGUAGAGGAAGAGGAAACGUUUAUAGGCAGCGUUUGUGUUCCCCAGAGAUAAAGACUUUCCAAUUUGAACGGAAGCUUAAGGUCAGCUAUCUUCUA